rnacentral:rRNA from 1 species
ACGCUCGACACCUACGGGGGGCAGCAGUGGGGAAUAUUGCACAAUGGGGGAAACCCUGAUGCAGCGACGCCGCGUGGAGGAAGAAGGUCUUCGGAUUGUAAACUCCUGUUGUUGGGGAAAAAGAGGAUGGUACCCAACAAGGAAGUGACGGCUAACUACGUCCCAGCAGCCGCGGUAAUCUGAGCGGGCUGGCAAGGC